rnacentral:rRNA from 1 species
GACGAACGCUGGCGGCGUGCUUAACACAUGCCAGUCGAACGGAAAGGCCCUGCUUGCAGGGUGCUCGAGUGGCGAACGGGUGAGUAACACGUGGGUGAUCUGCCCCUUACUUUGGGAUAGGCCUGGGAAACUGGGUCUAAUACUGGAUAGGACCAUGCUGUAGGUGGUGUGGUGGAAAGAUUAGUUUCGGUAAGGGAUGAGCUCGCGGCCUAUCAGCUUGUUGGUGGGGUAAUGGCCUACCAAGGCGUCGACGGGUAGCCGGCCUGAGAGGGUGGACGGCCACAUUGGGACUGAGAUACGGCCCAGACUCCUACGGGAGGCAGCAGUGGGGAAUAUUGCACAAUGGGCGCAAGCCUGAUGCAGCGACGCCGCGUGGGGGAUGACGGCCUUCGGGUUGUAAACUCCUUUCAGCCAUGACGAAGCCCUUGUGGGGACGGUAGUGGUAGAAGAAGCACCGGCUAACUACGU